AGGAGUAUGGACUCUGGAGUCAUAGGGCUGGAAUGCAAAUCUCAGCUCUAUCGUUUACCAGCUGUGCAACUUGGGCAAGUUACUCUCUAUUACUCUGUUUCCACAUCGGUUUACUCUGAUGGAUACCCUGACUGGUCAAUGGGCAGACAGGCCACCACCCCCUCCCCUCUGGACCCUACAUGGCAAAAGGCUUGGCAGACGUGACAAAGUGAAGAGUCUUGAGAUGGGGAGAUGAUCCUGCAUUGUCUGGAUGGGCUGGGUGUGGUCGUGACAGUUUUCAUAAGAGGGCUGCAGGACUACACUUUCUUCCUGAGAGGGUUCCUAACUUCUCUGAAGUCAAGUUGAGCGUCCACAUCUAAAGCCCCAGCCCAGUUGAACUUCCAGCCCACAGCUAGCACCAACUUGCCAGCCAUGUGAGUGAAUCAUCGUGGAAAUGAUAUCUGCCAGCCCUGGCCAAAAUGCCCCAGCUGAUGCCACAUAAAGCAAAAAUUAGCAGUUGCCACCAAGCCCUGCCUAAAUUGCAAAAUCGUUGAGAUGUUUCCCAAAAUGCCUCACAAAUAUUCUGGGAUGUCACCUUUUGCAAUGGAUCUGCAGGUUCCAUCGUGCCCUAGCUUUUUGCCUGAGGGGAGGCUCUGGCCAUGGGUCCCUUUUCAGGUCAGCAAGAGUGCCGUGCAGAGCAGGAGCCCCAUCCAAUGCUCUACAGGUAUACCAUCCAAUACUGUCCAAUAUUGUAGCCAUAUGUGACUAAUGAGCACUUGAAGUGUAGCUAGACUGAGAUGUGCUGGAAGCACACAAAACACAACUCAUUGUACAGGCUUAUACAGUACUAGUCUUCGAGAGAAUGUAAAAUAUCUCACUAAUAAUUUUAUAUUAAUUAUGUGUUGAAUUGAUAAAAUUUGGAUGUACUGGAUUAAAUAAAAUACCUU
rnacentral:lncRNA from 1 species